rnacentral:rRNA from 1 species
AUUGAACGCUGGCGGCAGGCCUAACACAUGCAAGUCGAACGGUAACAGGAAGCAGCUUGCUGCUUUGCUGACGAGUGGCGGACGGGUGAGUAAUGUCUGGGAAACUGCCUGAUGGAGGGGGAUAACUACUGGAAACGGUAGCUAAUACCGCAUAACGUCGCAAGACCAAAGAGGGGGACCUUCGGGCCUCUUGCCAUCGGAUGUGCCCAGAUGGGAUUAGCUAGUAGGUGGGGUAACGGCUCACCUAGGCGACGAUCCCUAGCUGGUCUGAGAGGAUGACCAGCCACACUGGAACUGAGACACGGUCCAGACUCCUACGGGAGGCAGCAGUGGGGAAUAUUGCACAAAGGGCGCAAGCCUGAUGCAGCCAUGCCGCGUGUAUGAAGAAGGCCUUCGGGUUGUAAAGUACUUUCAGCGGGGAGGAAGGGAGUAAAGUUAAUACCUUUGCUCAUUGAGGUUACCCGCAGAAGAAGCACCGGCUAACUCCGUG